ACUAGACACUAUUCCUACCAGCACUUGCUUUAUCACCACCUCCCCACCAACACAGAUGGUUCCAGACUAUAACUUGUGGUCCACGGUGAUGUCCUCAACCUUCUGCACUGCUGAAUGGACAUCUCCCAAGGUGUGACUAAGUGUUCCCAGUUCACUCAUCCAUCUUUGUGCUGUCCGCUAGCACUGAGCCUCUACCUGCUGUUUAUCGUCGGGGCCAUACCCUUGUAUAUGUGGCAGCUGCAGCAUCAAGUCAUCACUGCAUACACACGAUGAGAAAUUUGUGAAGCAUUAAAACCAAUAGGAAAAAUGCUA